rnacentral:rRNA from 1 species
CCUUGUACACACCGCCCGUCACACCAUGGGAGUUGGCUCUACCCGAAGGCGCUGCGCUAACCGUAAGGGAGGUAGGCGACCACGGUAGGGUCAGCGACUGGGGUG